CAGAUAUCAGGAGGAACACCGAUGGCGAAGGCAGGUCUCUGGGCAUUAACUGACGCUGAGGAGCGAAAGCAUGGGGAGCGAACAGGAUUAGAUACCCUGGUAGUCCAUGCCGUAAACGUUGGGCACUAGGUGUGGGGGACAUUCCACGUUUUCCGCGCCGUAGCUAACGCAUUAAGUGCCCCGCCUGGGGAGUACGGCCGCAAGGCUAAAACUCAAAGGAAUUGACGGGGGCCCGCACAAGCGGCGGAGCAUGCGGAUUAAUUCGAUGCAACGCGAAGAACCUUACCAAGGCUUGACAUGAACCGGAAAUACCUGGAGACAGGUGCCCCGCUUGCGGUCGGUUUACAGGUGGUGCAUGGUUGUCGUCAGCUCGUGUCGUGAGAUGUUGGGUUAAGUCCCGCAACGAGCGCAACCCUCGUUCUAUGUUGCCAGCACGUGAUGGUGGGGACUCAUAGGAGACUGCCGGGGUCAACUCGGAGGAAGGUGGGGACGACGUCAAAUCAUCAUGCCCCUUAUGUCUUGGGCUUCACGCAUGCUACAAUGGCCGGUACAAAGGGUUGCGAUACUGUGAGGUGGAGCUAAUCCCAAAAAGCCGGUCUCAGUUCGGAUUGGGGUCUGCAACUCGACCCCAUGAAGUCGGAGUCGCUAGUAAUCGCAGAUCAGCAACGCUGCGGUGAAUACGUUCCCGGGCCUUGUACACACCGCCCGUCAAGUCACGAAAGUUGGUAACACCCGAAGCCGGUGGCCUAACCCCUUGUGGGAGGGAGCUGUCGAAGGUGGGACUGGCGAUUGGACUAAGU
rnacentral:rRNA from 1 species